rnacentral:rRNA from 1 species
UACAGGGUGACAGCCCCGUACACAAAAGCGCAUGUGCUGUGAGCUCGAUGAGUAGGGCGGGACACGUGGUAUCCUGUCUGAAUAUGGGGGGACCAUCCUCCAAGGCUAAAUACUCCUGACUGACCGAUAGUGAACCAGUACCGUGAGGGAAAGGCGAAAAGAACCCCGGCGAGGGGAGUGAAAAAGAACCUGAAACCGUGUACGUACAAGCAGUGGGAGCCCCACCACUAAGCCAGUGGUGAACUCCACAUACGCAUCCUUUGCUGAGGAUACGGUUAACGGAGCGAAAGCGACGUUCAACCUCAAAAGAAGCAGAGGGGGCUUAGUGGUGGGGUGACUGCGUACCUUUUGUAUAAUGGGUCAGCGACUUAUAUUCUGUAGCAAGGUUAACCGAAUAGGGGAGCCGGAGGGAAACCGAGUCUUAACCGGGCGUUAAGUUGCAGGGUAUAGACCCGAAACCCGGUGAUCUAGCCAUGGGCAGGUUGAAGGUUGGGUAACACUAACUGGAGGACCGAACCGACUAAUGUUGAAAAAUUAGCGGAUGACCUGUGGCUGGGGGUGAAAGGCCAAUCAAACCGGGAGAUAGCUGGUUCUCCCCGAAAGCUAUUUAGGUAGCGCCUCGUGAAUUCAUCUCCGGGGGUAGAGCACUGUUUCGGCUAGGGGGCCAUCCCGGCUUACCAACCCGAUGCAAACUGCGAAUACCGGAGAAUGUUAUCACGGGAGACACACGGCGGGUGCUAACGUCCGUCGUGAAGAGGGAAACAACCCAGACCGCCAGCUAAGGUCCCAAAGUCAUGGUUAAGUGGGAAACGAUGUGGGAAGGCCCAGACAGCCAGGAUGUUGGCUUAGAAGCAGCCAUCAUUUAAAGAAAGCGUAAUAGCUCACUGGUCGAGUCGGCCUGCGCGGAAGAUGUAACGGGGCUAAACCAUGCACCGAAGCUGCGGCAGCGACGCUUAUGCGUUGUUGGGUAGGGGAGCGUUCUGUAAGCCUGUGAAGGUGGCCUGUGAGGGUUGCUGGAGGUAUCAGAAGUGCGAAUGCUGACAUAAGUAACGAUAAAGCGGGUGAAAAGCCCGCUCGCCGGAAGACCAAGGGUUCCUGUCCAACGUUAAUCGGGGCAGGGUGAGUCGACCCCUAAGGCGAGGCCGAAAGGCGUAGUCGAUGGGAAACGGGUUAAUAUUCCCGUACUUGGUGUUACUGCGAAGGGGGGACGGAGAAGGCUAUGUUGGCCGGGCGACGGUUGUCCCGGUUUAAGCGUGUAGGUGUGUGUUCCAGGUAAAUCCGGUUCACUUUAACACUGAGGCGUGAUGACGAGGCACUACGGUGCUGAAGCAACAAAUGCCCUGCUUCCAGGAAAAGCCUCUAAGCAUCAGGUAACAUCAAAUCGUACCCCAAACCGACACAGGUGGUCAGGUAGAGAAUACCAAGGCGCUUGAGAGAACUCGGGUGAAGGAACUAGGCAAAAUGGUGCCGUAACUUCGGGAGAAGGCACGCUGACACGUAGGUGAAGUGAUUUACUCA